GGGCCCGCACAAGCAGCGGAGCAUGUGGUUUAAUUCGAAGCAACGCGAAGAACCUUACCUAGACUUGACAUCUCCUGAAUUACUCGUAAUGGAGGAAGCCCUUCGGGCAGGAAGACAGGUGGUGCAUGGUUGUCGUCAGCUCGUGUCGUGAGAUGUUAGGUUAAGUCCUGCAACGAGCGCAACCCUUAUCAUUAGUUGCUACCAUUAAGUUGAGCACUC
rnacentral:rRNA from 1 species